rnacentral:rRNA from 1 species
AGGACGAACGCUGGCGGCGUGCCUAACACAUGCAAGUGGAGCGACGAACCAGGGCUUGCCCUGGAGCAAAGCCGCGAACGGGUGAGUAACACGUGGGUAACCUGCCUCGAUGACCGGGACAACCCGAGGAAACUCGGGCUAAUACCGGAUGUGCCCUGCCGGCCCAAGCCGGCGUGGGGAAAGGAAGCUUCGGCCUCCGCAUCGGGAGGGGCCCGCGGCCCAUUAGCUUGUUGGUGAGGUAAAGGCUCACCAAGGCAACGAUGGGUAGCUGGUCUGAGAGGACGAUCAGCCACACUGGGACUGAGACACGGCCCAGACUCCUACGGGAGGCAGCAGUGGGGAAUAUUGCACAAUGGGGGGAACCCUGAUGCAGCGACGCCGCGUGCGGGAUGAAGGCCUUCGGGUUGUAAACCGCUUUCAGCAGGGACGAAAUUGACGGUACCUGCAGAAGAAGCACGGCUAACUACGUGCCAGCAGCCGC